UACGGCGAAUACGUUCCCGGACCUUGUACACACCGCCCGUCAAGCCAUGGAAGCUGGGUGUACCUAAAGUCGGUAACCGCAAGGAGCCGCCUAGGGUAAAACUAGUAACUGGGGCU
rnacentral:rRNA from 1 species